CCGCCAGAAAACUACGAGCGAAAAGCUUAAAACUCAAAGGACUUGGCGGUGCUCCACACCGACUUAGAGGAGCCUGUCCUAUAAUCGAUACCCCACGCUAAACCUCACCAAUCUUUGCCCCCCUCAGCCUAUAUACCGCCGUCGUCAACCUACCUCGUGAGAGAAAAACAGUAAGUGUAAAAGUUCAAUAACUAAAACGUCAGGUCAAGGUGUAGCUUAUGGAAUGGAAGAGAUGGGCUACAUUUUUU
rnacentral:rRNA from 1 species